rnacentral:rRNA from 1 species
UGCAUGCCUGCAGGUCGACGAUUGCCUACGGGAGGCAGCAGUGGGGAAUUGUUCGCAAUGGGCGCAAGCCUGACGACGCAACGCCGCGUGGAGGAUGAAGGUCUUCGGAUUGUAAACUCCUGUUGCUCGGGACGAAAAGCUUCGACCUAACACGUCGAAGUCUGACGGUACCGAGUGAGGAAGCCCCGGCUAACUCUGUGCCAGCAGCCGCGGUAAUACAGAGGGGGCAAGCGUUGUUCGGAAUUACUGGGCGUAAGGGGCGCGUAGGCGGCCUGCUAAGUCGAACGUGAAAUCCCUGGGCUCAACCCAGGAACUGCGUCCGAUACUGGUUGGCUCGAAUCCGGGAGAGGGAUGUGGAAUUCCAGGCGUAGCGGUGAAAUGCGUAGAUAUCUGGAGGAACACCGGUGGCGAAGGCGACAUCCUGGACCGGCAUUGACGCUGAGGCGCGAAAGCCAGGGGAGCAAACGGGAUUAGAUACCCCGGUAGUCCUGGCCCUAAACGAUGAAUGCUUGGUGUGGCGGGUAUCGAUCCCUGCCGUGCCGAAGCUAACGCAUUAAGCAUUCCGCCUGGGGAGUACGGUCGCAAGGCUGAAACUCAAACGAAUUGA